rnacentral:rRNA from 1 species
UACGGAGGGUGCAAGCGUUAUCCGGAUUCACUGGGGUUAAAGGGUGCGUAGGUGGGUUGGUAAGUCAGUGGUGAAAUCUCCGUGCUUAACAUGGAAACUGCCAUUGAUACUACUAGUCUUGAAUCUUCCGGAGGUCAGCGGAAUAUGUCAUGUAGCGGUGAAAUGCUUAGAUAUGACAUAGAACACCAAUUGCGAAGGCAGCUGACUACAGGGGCAUUGACACUGAGGCACGAAAGCGUGGGGAUCAAACAGG